rnacentral:lncRNA from 15 species
UACACAUAUAUUAAAUGUUAUAUGCCAGAGAAAACAGUUUAAUUUUGUUAUUGAGGAUGGUGCGAGCUUGAAGGUUGCCCCCGGGCCUGGAUUUUGGACAACACUGUCUACUAAAAAAGGAAAAGGCUUGAUCAAGGGCUGAAAUGAUAAUCCGAGGUAGGCGUCAGAUGGGACAUGCAGAGGUAAUUCCAAGGAACCCUGCCCUCCGGAUCUGAGGUCGAGCCAUUAAUAACAGUGGGAGGUUCCUCGCUGUCAGCAUUCAUGGACCCCGCAGGCUUUAUGGCUUGUGUCUGCCAGGCUACGUCUCAUUACAUGCAGUCACUGUGAAGUAUGCACGUACAUGCAUAUCUAUCUACAUAUCAAAAUGUAUGGAUUUUUAUAAAAGGCACAACAACCCACCACAAGCAUGCAUGGCAGCAGAGUAUACAGUAUGCAUUAUUAUACUAUUCUUAAAUAAUCAAGAGAUAAUAUGAAUAAUGCACCAAAUAAGAUUUAUGAUCCCAGAAAGACGAGACAGAAAUGGGUUUAGAAAAAUUAUAAAUAAAGGUGACACAGGAUGUUACUGUAGGUGUUGACAGAUUGAUGAAGUUUUUUUUUUUUUGUCUUGAUCGAUAUAUGAGUUACGUGUCCAUUCCUCAGCUUGUUUGUUAUUGUUUGUUUCCUUGGAUAUAGUCAAGGCCCUGACACCUUGGCUUGACCCAGACAGUCAUUUGCUGAACACUAUAUGCUAACACAUUAGCAGCAGGCAGCACCAUGUCCUGACAUUUGACUCUGAAAUCCAACCCUUUGUUCAGUAAUGGAAAGGCCAAAAAAAUUGUCCUCCUCUGGGAACCCGUGCUUGUUAACCUGACUGUAAAGAAAAACCUCUCUGACAUAAAAGUUAGUGAUGGCAUGUUAUACCCGCCAAAGACUGCCCGCAUCUACGUAAUAACGCAAACCAUCCAGGUUGGUUUUAGUAACACUGAUUAGCACCCCUGUGCUAUUAUUGUUGUGCUCCUGUGUCUACAACUGCAGUGACUGACAUAACCGAUACAGCUUUAUGAAGGCAAUGGAAGUGGAAAAGACUGAGCUAUAAAUAGAUCACAAUGCUGCAGUGCACAUAUAACUUCACUCUUCAUACUCGGGUACAUCUUCUAAACUUUUUUCUUUAAGAGUAGAAGUAUUAAACUCUUACAUGAUAGAGAGUAGACUCUCACUCUAUGAUAAGGGAAUAAUAAGAAUGGGUGUAUUUGCAGCUGUUUUUUUCUUCUAAACACUUCAGUAUCUCAGUGACCCCGAGGCUAGGUCACUUGUCUUCUGGGGGUCCCAGUGUUCCAAGUUGUAC